rnacentral:tRNA from 7 species
UGUGCGGGUUCAAUUCCCGUCGUUCG